CUGUCUCAGUACAAGCCAAAUUAAGGUGAAACCGCGAAUGGCUCAUUAAAUCAGUUAUGGUUCCUUAGAUCGUACCACACACUACUUGGAUACCUGUGGUAAUUCUAGAGCUAAUACAUGCAAUUGGAGCUCCGACCGGAGACGGGAGGAGCGCUUUUAUUAGAUCAAAACCAAUCGGUCGGCUUCAUUGUCCGGUCCGUUUGCCUUGGUGACUCUGAAUAACUUUUGGCUGAUCGCACGGUCUCCGCACCGGCGACGCAUCUUUCAAAUGUCUGCCUUAUCAACUUACGAUGGUAGGUUCUGCGCCUACCAUGGUUGUAACGGGUAACGGGGAAUCAGGGUUCGAUUCCGGAGAGGGAGCCUGAGAAACGGCUACCACAUCCAAGGAAGGCAGCAGGCGCGCAAAUUACCCACUCCCGGCACGGGGAGGUAGUGACGAAAAAUAACGAUACGGGACUCAUCCGAGGCCCCGUAAUCGGAAUGAGUACACUUUAAAUCCUUUAACGAGUAUCCAUUGGAGGGCAAGUCUGGUGCCAGCAGCCGCGGUAAUUCCAGCUCCAAUAGCGUAUAUUAAAGUUGUUGCGGUUAAAAAGCUCGUAGUUGGAUGUGUGUCCCACGCUGUCGGUUCACCGCCCGUCGGUGUUUAACUGGCAUGUAUCGUGGGACGUCCUGCCGGUGGUGGCGAGUCGAAAGCGGCUGCGCAGCAUGGUUUACGCCGUGUUGUGUCAGUUGCCUAGACGGACCCCGAUGAAAUCCUAUUUCGGUGCUCUUUACUGAGUGUCGAGGUGGGCCGGCACGUUUACUUUGAACAAAUUAGAGUGCUUAAAGCAGGCAUGUUCGCCUGAAUAUUGUGUGCAUGGAAUAAUGGAAUAGGACCUCGGUUCUAUUUUGUUGGUUUUCGGAACCCGAGGUAAUGAUUAAUAGGGACAGACGGGGGCAUUCGUAUUGCGACGUUAGAGGUGAAAU
rnacentral:rRNA from 1 species